UACGUAGGGUGCGAGCGUUAAUCGGAAUUACUGGGCGUAAAGCGUGCGCAGGCGGUUUUGUAAGUCAGGGGUGAAAUCCCCGGGCUUAACCUGGGAACUGCGCUUGUGACUGCAAGACUCGAGUACGGCAGAGGGGGGUAGAAUUCCACGUGUAGCAGUGAAAUGCGUAGAGAUGUGGAGGAAUACCGAUGGCGAAGGCAGCCCCCUGGGUCGAUACUGACGCUCAUGCACGAAAGCGUGGGGAGCAAACAGG
rnacentral:rRNA from 1 species